AGAGUUUGAUCCUGGCUCAGAAUGAACGCUGGCGGCGUGCCUAACACAUGCAAGUCGAAUGUGCCGCAAGGUGCAUGGCAGACGGGUGAGUAACGCGUAGGGAAUCUACCUUUUAGUGGGGAAUAACGCUCCGAAAGGAGUGGUAAUACCGCAUGAGACCGUAGUCUGGGAUGACUACGGUGAAACCUGGGGACCGCAAGGCCUGGGGCUAAAAGAGGAUCCUGCGUCUGAUUAGCUAGUUGGCGGGGUAAUGGCCCACCAAGGCGACGAUCAGUAGCCGGCCUGAGAGGGUGAUCGGCCACACUGGAACUGAGACACGGUCCAGACUCCUACGGGAGGCAGCAGUGGGGAAUUUUGGACAAUGGGCGCAAGCCUGAUCCAGCCAUGCCGCGUGAGUGAAGAAGGCCUUCGGGUUGUAAAGCUCUUUCGGCGGGGAAGAAAUUGCUUAGGUUAAUACCUUGAGUAGAUGACGGUACCCGCAUAAGAAGCACCGGCUAACUACGUGCCAGCAGCCGCGGUAAUACGUAGGGUGCGAGCGUUAAUCGGAAUUACUGGGCGUAAAGCGUGCGCAGGCGGUUGUGUAAGUCAGAUGUGAAAUCCCCGGGCUCAACCUGGGAACUGCAUUUGAGACUGCACGGCUAGAGUGUAGCAGAGGGGGGUAGAAUUCCACGUGUAGCAGUGAAAUGCGUAGAUAUGUGGAGGAACACCGAUGGCGAAGGCAAUCCCCUGGACCUGUACUGACGCUCAUGCACGAAAGCGUGGGGAGCAAACAGGAUUAGAUACCCUGGUAGUCC
rnacentral:rRNA from 1 species